AGUACCUGACCAGAAAGCCACGGCUAACUACGUGCCAGCAGCCGCGGUAAUACGUAGGUGGCAAGCGUUGUCCGGAAUUAUUGGGCGUAAAGCGCGCGCAGGCGGUUUCUUAAGUCUGAUGUGAAAGCCCCCGGCUCAACCGGGGAGGGUCAUUGGAAACUGGGAAACUUGAGUGCAGAAGAGGAGAGUGGAAUUCCACGUGUAGCGGUGAAAUGCGUAGAGAUGUGGAGGAACACCAGUGGCGAAGGCGACUCUCUGGUCUGUAACUGACGCUGAGGCGCGAAAGCGUGGGGAGCGAACAGGAUUAGAUACCCUGGUAGUCCACGCCGUAAACGAUGAGUGCUAAGUGUUAGAGGGUUUCCGCCCUUUAGUGCUGCAGCUAACGCAUUAAGCACUCCGCCUGGGGAGUACGGUCGCAAGACUGAAACUCAAAGGAAUUGACGGAC
rnacentral:rRNA from 1 species